CGCUUCCUCAUGCUGACAUAUUUACUAGAGGGUAAAAUCAACAGACUUCUGGUAAGAGUGGCAGUCGAAGGGAAGGG
rfam:Cricetulus griseus cell line CHO-K1, whole genome shotgun sequence.